GUAUAUCUUGGGGCUUUGCUUUUUCUUAGAAAGCUGGACUAGGAGCAUAGCUAGGCUGGAAAAGGUGUUUCUACGAAACAAAAUUAGAAUAUUCUGGGGGUUGCUGGAGUACAAUGCUUGCCUGUCAAUACCCAGGAGUUACAUAAAGCCUUGCUUUAUAAAAGGAAAGGGAAGGGAGCUCUUUUGCGGAGAGGGACAUCCGACGCACCCAAUGGGGAUGUGACCCUAGGAAGAUGAGCCAUUCACAUGGUCUUUGCACAAGGCUGCAUCACAUUGCCCUUCCGUGCUCGACCCUCUCUCAUCUGCAGAAUUUAAA